rnacentral:rRNA from 1 species
CCCGGCGGGUCGACUUCUUGAGGAUCCAAUACUGCUAAUACGUGCGCAAAUCCGCCUAUCACAACGCCGAUGGCGAGCCACAUACCGGCUUCGGCUUUACCAGCCAAACCAGCGGCAAGCAGCACCCACAACACGCCGAUCAGCACAACAUUCAGAAGUGUCGGCGCAAGAGCUGCUGCUGCAAAGCGCCCGAGCCCAUUCAAAACGCCAGAAAUCAGAGCCAAAAUGGAGACAAGCGUCAGAUAGGGAGACGUGAUCCGCGUGAGGAACACCGUUAGAUCGAACUUGUCUGGAUCGCUGAUGAAACCUGGCGCAAGCACCAGCAUGAGGAUCGGCAUCGCAAUCAUGGCGACAGCGGUCACCAAAGCCAGAACGGUCAGCAAUCCCCGCCAUGGCCUCUUGGGCAAAUGCUUUUGCGCUCUCCCUGCCGUCGCCUUCCAACGUGCGUGCAAAGAGCGGCACAAAGGCAGAGUUAAAGGCCCCUUCUGCAAACAAGCGGCGGAAAAGAUUGGGAAAGCGGAACGCAACCACAAAGGCGUCUGCCACUGGCCCGGUGCCAAGCGCCGCCGCCAUCAAAAUAUCGCGGACGAACCCAAGCACCCUGCUGGUCAGCGUUGCACCGCCAACAGUUGCAAAAUUGCGCAGCAAACUCAUCGGCUACGUGCGGGCUUUGGAUUUGGAACGCCGAGCGGGGCGCGGUGCCGGUGUAGACGGUGCAUGUUCUGAGGAUUCCGGCACAGCCGUGUUGUGCGCGUGCACGACGCGCUAAAGCGGCUGGCCGCGGGUUUGGCUGGCGUCCCACCCCAAGACCUCUUCCAGUUUCUGCUUGAUGGUGUUUCAGUUUGGCGCGACUGGGUGAUUUUUUUGGGCCCUACCAGAUCGGUCACGUAAAAGACGGUUCGAACCGCCCGUCACCAACGUCGCCAAAUGGGGGCCUGAAUUGCGCUGGGUC